ACAAGAAUCUCCAGGCUCUCUAAUCUUCUGUUUCCAAUUUGUGGCAAAUGCCUGGCUUGAGGAAGCUGCACCUGAUAAGUUGUACUACUUGAUCUAGUGCCAUUUAAAAUCAAAGAUAAGACUCCCAUUGACAUCAUUAGGGUUUGGAUGAAGGCCCAACUGCCAGAGGAAUUCCAGGAAACUGGUCUGUCUGGGGAGAGGUAUAGCAGCAAGGUUAAUGAACCUCUCAGACAUGUCCCGGAGGACUAAAGAGAUUUCCAACAAAAGAGGGAAGACCAGACUUGAUUUUCUUGAUAUUUUGACACUGAGUUC